GAUGAACGCUGGUGGCGUGCUUAACACAUGCAAGUCGAACGGUGAAGCCCAGCUUGCUGGGUGGAUCAGUGGCGAACGGGUGAGUAACACGUGAGCAACCUGCCCUCCACUUCAGGAUAAGCCUUGGAAACGAGGUCUAAUACCGGAUAUGAGCGCCUGCCGCAUGGUGGGUGUUGGAAAGUUUUUCGGUGGGGGAUGGGCUCGCGGCCUAUCAGCUUGUUGGUGGGGUAAUGGCCUACCAAGGCGUCGACGGGUAGCCGGCCUGAGAGGGCGACCGGCCAAACUGGGACUGAGACACGGCCCAGACUCCUACGGGGGGCAGCAGUGGGGAAUAUUGCACAAUGGGCGAAAGCCUGUUGCAGCGACGCCACGUGAGGGAUGACGGCCUUCGGGUUGUAAACCUCUUUCAGCAGGGAAGAAGCGCAAGUGACGGUACCUGCAGAAAAAGCACCGGCUAACUACGUGCCAGCCGCCGCCGUAA
rnacentral:rRNA from 1 species